rnacentral:rRNA from 1 species
CAGUAGGGAAUCUUCCGCAAUGAGCGAAAGCUUGACGGAGCAACGCCGCGUGAGUGAUGAAGGCCUUCGGGUCGUAAAGCUCUGUCCUAAGGGAGGAACAUCCCAGUAGAUAAGAUCUGCUGGGCUUGACGGUACCUUUGGAGGAAGCCUCGGCUAAUUACGUGCCAGCAGCCGCGGUAAUACGGAGGGUGCAAGCGUUAAUCGGAAUUACUGGGCGUAAAGCGCGCGUAGGUGGCUUGAUAAGCCGGUUGUGAAAGCCCCGGGCUCAACCUGGGAACGGCAUCCGGAACUGUCAGGCUAGAGUGCAGGAGAGGAAGGUAGAAUUCCCGGUGUAGCGGUGAAAUGCGUAGAGAUCGGGAGGAAUACCAGUGGCGAAGGCGGCCUUCUGGACUGACACUGACACUGAGGUGCGAAAGCGUGGGUAGCAAACAGGAUUAGAUACCCUGGUAGUCCACGCCGUAAACGAUGUCGACCAGCCGUUGGGUGCCUAGCGCACUUUGUGGCGAAGUUAACGCGAUAAGUCGACCGCCUGGGGAGUACGGCCGCAAGGUUAAAACUCAAAGGAAUUGACGG